rnacentral:misc_RNA from 1 species
CCUUAACAGAAUUAUUUAAAUGUGAAGUUACAUUAAGUUUUGAUCCCACAUCUGGAUCUUUCCAAACACUAUUCUCCCCUCCACAUUUUUGCUCAUCUACAAAAUCUAUUCCUACUUGAUUUUGCUGCUCCAAAUAGGAAAUACCAGAUCCAAGAUGAAGUAAUUUGACACUCUUAUCAUUCUCCAGUGUAGAUAAUACAUGCCCUCCAUGUUUAUUUGCCACUUCAUCUGCUGUAUUCUGAUCUAUACCAGGAAGGGAACAAAAAUAAGAAUUAUCACAUUCUUUCUGUAAAUAAGGAAACAUAGGCAACUGGUUGUUUGGCCCUUCCUUGUAAAUAGCUUUAUCUAGAUUGCAUAGACUAUCAGGAAUAAGCUCUGAUUCUGAAUCCAAUCCUUUUGUACGUAAAUCUGGCAGAUAUAAAGAACUCUUCAUACUAUAUUGUAGUGCACCAGUAAUGUGCCCAACUGAGGAAUCUUGAAGGGAUAGAAAGACAUCUUUUAUAUGGGUUACCAGCUUCGGAUCCUCAGCAACUUUAUUCAAAGAGCCGAGCUGUACAACUCCAUACGGAACAACAGCUACGACAACAAUGGUCUUGAUCCCAGCUGAAAACUG